GGGGUGGUUUUCAGCCCCCAGUAAGGUGCACCAGCAGGACCAAGAGGUGGCCUGGGCCUCCCCAACACUCUCAUCCAUGCAGACCUAGGACAGAAGCAGAGGGUGCUGUUUCUAUGCCACCACCAGGAAAGAGGCAGAGAGGCUGGGCCAUGCUGGAGUCCUCUGGGAGGGAGCAACCUUGACCCUGGCUGUGCUGCAAGCUGAUUCCAGCCCUGGGGUCAGCAGCACCUGGAGAACAGCAGCAGGAGGUGGCGUGAGAGCAGUGGCUCAUGGGUGGAGCUUCCCAUGGGAAACUGAGGCUGCCACCCCUUCCUGAGGGCAGCCAAGAG
rnacentral:lncRNA from 1 species